rnacentral:rRNA from 1 species
CCUACGGGUGGCAGCAGUGAGGAAUAUUGGUCAAUGGGCGCUAGCCUGAACCAGCCAAGUAGCGUGAAGGAUGACUGCCCUAUGGGUUGUAAACUUCUUUUAUAUGGGAAUAAAGUGCAGUAUGUAUACUGCUUUGCAUGUACCUUAUGAAUAAGGAUCGGCUAACUCCGUACCAGCAGCCGCGGUAAUACGUAGGAUCCGAGCGUUAUCCGGAUUUAUUGGGUGUAAUGGGAGCGUAGGCGGGUUUGUAAGUCAGUUGUGAAAGUUUGCGGCUCAACCGUAAAAUUGCAGUUGAUACUGGCAUACGUGAGUACAGGAGAGGGAGGCGGAAUUCGUGGUGUAGCGGUGAAAUGCUUAGAUAUCACGAAGAACUCGGAUUGCGAAGGCAGCCUGCUGGACUGUAACUGACGCUGAUGCUCAAAAGUGUGGGUAUCAAACAGGAUUAGAUACCCUUGUAGUC